AGAGUUUGAUCCUGGCUCAGAUUGAACGCUGGCGGCAUGCCUUACACAUGCAAGUCGAACGGUAACGCGGGGCAACCUGGCGACGAGUGGCGAACGGGUGAGUAUUCUUUUGAACGUGCCCAGUAGUGGGGGAUAGCCCGGCGAAAGCCGGAUUAAUACCGCAUACGACCUACGGGUGAAAGCGGGGGACCGCAAGGCCUCGCGCUAUUGGAGCGGCCGAUGUCAGAUUAGGUAGUUGGUGGGGUAAAGGCCUACCAAGCCUGCGAUCUGUAGCUGGUCUGAGAGGACGACCAGCCACACUGGGACUGAGACACGGCCCAGACUCCUACGGGAGGCAGCAGUGGGGAAUUUUGGACAAUGGGCGCAAGCCUGAUCCAGCCAUGCCGCGUGCGGGAAGAAGGCCUUCGGGUUGUAAACCGCUUUUGUCAGGGAAGAAAUCCUUUGGGCUAAUACCCUGAAGGGAUGACGGUACCUGAAGAAUAAGCACCGGCUAACUACGUGCCAGCAGCCGCGGUAAUACGUAGGGUGCAAGCGUUAACCGGAAUUACUGGGCGUAAAGCGUGCGC
rnacentral:rRNA from 1 species